GUUUUUGAGAAGUCAUUUCAAAGCCUGCGCUGCUGGUAGAACAGGAAGGAAGGAAAUAACUGAUGAAACUGUUCUAAUUUGCCCUAACACUAUGAAAUUGCUUUUGCUAAAUUGGAAAGGAAGAGGCAACUCAAAGACACUGUUGCCUAUGAAAAGUAGUUUGUUUUUGAAACAAGUAUUAGAUGUGCAUUUACAUAUAUAUAAAACAACCAGAGUAAAUACCCUGCACACUAUUAUGUGGGUUAUGCCCCCACAUGAGUAGACACUAAACUGUGCCUCAGUUUGCACAUUUGCAUUCUGAAGUGAAGGUGGAACCUUAAAAAAAACCCCAACCAACCAAACAAAUAAAAACCUAAUCAAGAAACAAAAAAACCCUGAACUUGUUUCUCUAAUCAUUUAUUGAGUUAAUCAUAUGUUUGUGGAGCCUCUUAGAAACCUGCCAAAAACAAGGUGGAUUUGAGGAAUGUUUAUUUUUCCUGAGAAGGUGCCUCAUACAGCGUUACAGUAGCUCUUGUCUUUCAACAGAGGAAGAAUUUUUAAAUUAAACUGGAGGGCUAAAAAGAGAGAAAUCUGCUGCCUUUCAGUGCGCGUCUCCAGAAUAUGAGACGCAUCAUCAGCUGCAGAAAAUAUUGGAAUUAGAAACAAAAUUUCAAAGUAAGAAUAUUGGUCCUUGACAACUUUUUCAAACCAAUUCUGUCAUUCACCUGUGGAUCUUCAUAUCAGAGCCUGGGGCUACUGCUUUAUUUGUCUGCCAGGAAAGCAAGCAGGUGACUAACACAAGAAGUCCACGGUAAACUUGUAGAACUUCUGAAAGGAAGCACAGCAGCUGAGACACCAGGGGAGAGCAGCACGCGUUGCGACCAGCAGUGAGGCAGGUUGAUGGCACGGAUGGCUGACUGAGAACUGAGAAGGGUGUCUGAAUCGCCUGGCAUAACAAAACCAGGAAUGUGCCGGCUGGAAAACAGUCAUGGGACAAAGAUGGUGAAGAGUCUAAAGAAGAGUGGUCAGGAUGAUGAAGGUGGCUACAAAGAGGAAGGUUUUUAUCAGCUAAGAAGAUAUGCUUCAGUAGGACCUCUUCAAAAUACAGAUGCAAAGUAAAGGUAAAGAAAAGGCAGCUUUUAGACUACUGAAAAUGAGUUUGAGCUCGUUUGUGUUACAAUUUCAGCAAAUGUACAUCACAGCAGUGCUAGAUACUGUGAUGAGUUGAGAGUUUUAGGCAGCCAGGAGCAGUUCAUUAUUUGGAGCUGCCCAGUACUUGGAGCAAUUAAAGCUACAGAGGAGCAAUAUUUCCUUGUAUCAGGGAGACAUAACUGACCCUUGUUUUUCCUUCUCCUUUCCCUAACUCCAAGGCAUUCUUGCCAUUCACACAUGGGAAAGGUGGAGUCUGGUGGAGAAAGCAGCAGAGCUGUCUCUGCUAUAAUGGUGGCAGUAGAACAUUCCCUGCUCAGGGGAAAUCUUCCACCUACCUCCUCCAUCAGGCAUCUUCUCUGUAGUAAACAGUGGAAUCUCAUCAACACGCCUCCGCUCUGGCAAUGAAGAAAUUCAUAAACUACGCUGGGAUUUUAUUGGCUGCUUCUUGCAAAGCAAACUUUCCCUAGUGCUCAUUUUUAAACUGCCAGUAGUCAGUUUUAUAAUUCUGUAUAACUGUGUUUGCUCUAACCUGGUUCCCAUUAUUAACUGACAGCUGCAAAGACGACCAAAAUGAAAACAGGGAACCUGGAAACAGUUACCUUUUGUACUCUUCCCUUUACAGAUGUAAAUUCAGCAUAAUAAUAACUGUACUUUUGGGAUCAGGCCUUGCAUAAUAGUAUUUAAGGUAUGCUGCUCAUUUCAGAGACUGGGUCAAUGGCCGACAAGUGCUGAGAUCCAUAGCCACUCAUCUCUUGUUACAGAAAAGCUGAAUGAUUGCCCAGAGAGGAUGAGCCCUGUGAAAGCGAUUGUUCAUGCUUCACUUGGAAAAUCUCUCUAACACAUGGUUCCACUGCCAUGAGGCAGGCUAAACCAUUGCUCACUCUUGGUCUUGUGACCCCGAAGCAGCCACAUGUCUGCAAAGUUUCCCAACUGGAUCUCUCUCACUUACUGAAAUUUGGAUAUUGUGACAGCUCCUUUCUCCACCCCAUGCAUAUAGGAUGAAUAUGAUUUCUGUAAAUCUUGAUUAACAGAGGAGAUUAAUAACAGAGUUGACAUCCAGUGUCCAGCUCUGGACUCUGCAUUUUUAGGACACAGGUAUGGGCUGUUACAUAUAUCAGUUACGGCUCUACAAUAUAGCUGGCUUUAAAUAACAAUUAGGCCUUUCUAAAAUUAUGUUAGUUUAUUCUAAAUGAGCACAUUUAUAGAACUAUGUUAGUACCUUGUGGAGGCAGCUGUUUUCUUGACUCCAGUGUAUUUAUAGUAAAAUACAUUUUAAGCAAACUGGUCACUUAAUGAUAUUUUUAAAGCUGUUGACAUAAGCAUGUGAUAUCAGCAUUUUCAUUGAGACAGCUUUUGAAAACUUCUGCCUCCAAGCAACUAGCAGCAUUUCCUCAAUGCAGAAGUUUCCAAAGUUUGCCCACAUCUCUGAUCAGGGCUGUGAUACAGGUAAUCACACUAGAUCUGAAGCUGCUGCCCUGGCAACCAGUAAACACAUCUCGUGAAACAGCUACAAGUGGUGAGAGGAACACGCAAACCAAACCACUGCAAUUUUUUCUCUUCUUACAAUGCUUUAGAUCUGUUAAAAAUGUUACAAUUAUUAGUGCUGCUAAACAUCACAGAAACAUGCAAAAACCACUGCUUUAAGAUUCUCCAUUGUACAUGGCAACUGAAAUGUAAAAUAACAAACUGCGACCGGACCCUGUACUCUUGCUCUCAAAGUGAGAAGAAAAGAUUUUCACUGUUGUGUUUCUGUAUUUCACACCAGCAACAAGUGCACGCAACAAGCAUGCACAAAACAUUUUAUAGGCAUCUCAAGCCACCUGCAGUUAGAGGUGACUCCCUGCCCUGGCCUCCCACCUGCAGCUGAGCAGAGACCACCCGGCCGGCGAGGCCCCCGCCUGCUCCCAGCUGUCAGCAGGCAGCUGCCCCUCUGCAGCGCGUGUCACGGGGCUUCGGGGACGCCACAGCAUUGCAGCAGUGGAAAUUGCUUCGAGUUUGCUUUGAAUGUAACCGUUCAACAUAAGGCCGGGUAAUGGAAGCUAGCAGACCUGUAGCUGUGACCUGGUUUUGAGCAUUUCCUCUGUAUUCAAAAAAUGGAAAGACAGCAAGAAAAAUCUCUUUCUGAUAGACCAGAUGUUUAAAAAUGCAUUCAUAUGAUCAGACAACACUUUGAUACAGGCAAAUAUUAAUGCUGCUUUCGUCCGAAUGUCCAGUAUAACCUACAAAAUACCUACAUGAGGAUAGGGAAGGGUAUACAGACAUUUCAGCUGUCUAGAAGGGAAGCUCAUGUUCUGGGUCAGAAAUCACUGUGGCUAGGAAAGAAUGUGAGGCAUGUCAUACCCUUGCAAUGCAAUCACUGAAUUAGAAAAAAAAAAUCACUGAAAGUGUCUAGCAUAAAUUAUUGUUUCCAUAACCAUUGGCCCAGUAGGUUUCUAAUAAAACUGAAAACCUUUUGCAGCUUACCAAAACUGAUCUGGACUGGGUGUAAUGUUUCGGGAGGGAAUUUAUCAGACGUGGUUUCUGCUGAAGUGAUGCUCAGUAAAGGUAACUCUGAGCCACAGACGUGGCAUUUCUGGGAAGCCUGCUGGGCCCUGCCAGUAUGGCUAAUGAAGCCUACAACUUUAAUUUAAAAUGCCACGCAUCGGCAAGACUAGAAAUGAAACCUACAUCAAACCAGAGUGCCUUUGGCUUACCUGUGAUCUGCCUGAUCUGCCUCUGCAGGGGUAAGUGCACACUGGCCAGGCAGCUGCCUAACUGCGUACUGGAGUUGCAAAUGAAGGCAUCACAAGAAACAGCACAGAUGACAACUAACAGUUUAUGAAUAAUCCCCAACAUGGUGUUUAGUGAUGCUAUUAGCUGUCUGUCCUUCAUGUCAGACGUGGCCAAGGCCCUGACCAACCAUGGUCUCUGAGAGUCCCGUAACAACUUCCUUAGAAUUAGGCUGAUUAUUGUGGUUUCAUUUCAAUUCAAAGAAAUACAUUCUCCAUUACUUUUAUAUCAACGCUGAGAUAUCGUCUUUCCUGACAAGUAUUGUGGAGAGCUUCUUGCAUUUCAAGAGACCAGUUUGUGUUCCCCUUUGGAGUUUGGGAUGCAGACGUGCAUGAAACCUAUCACCGCCUUAGAAGAAAGUUAUAGGUUCUUCCAUUUAUCCAUCUGUGUACAUGCCAACCAGCAAAAGGCACUUCAGCUUUUAUUGUAGUCCCAACAACUGACAAUAUCUGAACACUUUUAGGAAAAUUUCAUAGUGAAAAACAGCAAUGAGGCAGGUGGCCAAGAGUACAUAUGGCAGCAGUGACAUAAACAUAUGGAAAUUACACUUGAAACAUGGGGGGGUGGGGUGUCAUAUUUAUUUACUAAAACAAACACCUCCUUGGAUUUUAGGGGCAAAGCAGUUUCUGAACGAAGGAUGACUGUUGCGUGUGUGUGCGCGCCGUUGAAGGUUUUCCGAAGUUGUGCUCUGUUAGGAAAACCAGAUUGGGCACAGUGCACCUUUAAAAAACCCCCAAAUCUGCUAAAACUAUCAGUACUUCUGAGUAAAGCAUCUUUAAUCUGCGA